rnacentral:rRNA from 1 species
UACAGAGGUCUCAAGCGUUGUUCGGAUUCAUUGGGCGUAAGGGUGCGUAGGCGGCGCGGUAAGUCGGGGUGUGAAAUCUUGGAGCUUAACUCCGAAACUGCAUUCGAUACUGCCGUGCGUUGAGGACUGGAGAGGAGACGUGGAAUUUACGGUGUAGCGGUGAAAUGCGUAGAUAUCGUAAGGAAGACCAGUGGCGAAGGCGGGUCUCUGGACAGUUCCGUGACGC